CAAUGUUUUCAGCCUGAUUCCCGGAUGGGGGCAGAGAAGAGAGUCUCAAAGGUAAUGGCGGAGUCUUCGGAGUCAGGGUGGUUCCUUCUAGAAAGAUCUAGAACAGAAGUAGAAAUACACGUAUGUAUUGAACUGGAGAUAAUUAUAGCAAAAGAGAUACUCAGGGAGGGAUGGCACGCGGCCCUGGUUCUAGGUUCCCUUCAGCUGCUUCAAUGGGGCCAACCAGGGAUGGGGUGCCCUCUGACCCCAUGAGGGCCCCGGCGGGGGGAGGUCCAGUUGUCCUCUCAGAGCUAGUUUCUUGCAGGGCACGCCCUCUCUGGCUGGCCUGCAAUCAGGGAAAACGAGAGCUCCCAACCAGUGCAGCGUGUGAACCAGCAGGGCACAGCCUGAGAGCCAAAUCCUGACCCCGGCUCUCCUCCCUCUGUCCAGCUUGGGGGCCCGCCUUUGCUGGCUGGCUGGACAGGUGGAUGGUGGGUCAUGCUGGCAUUACUAUUCUCUCCAGCAGCAGUGAGGUCCCCCACCUGCAGGGCCAAAGGGAGAGCCUGCCGUUGAGGUAAUGGUUUUCACUCCUACCUCUCCACUCACCAUGACUGGCCUUCCUUGGCCUUCGAGAUGGAGGAUGGCCCCACCAGCUUCCUCCGGGAGCCUGCCUCCCCUCCUCCCUUCCCUGGGCCUGGCUGGUGUUCAACAGGGAUGGGGGUCAGGGAUGCACACCUCACCUUUGCCUGGGGUGCCCCCUCUUGAGGACCUGGCACUUUGGUAGCAAUCACUACUGUUCAUGAAAUGAGUCAGAUGGAAUCUUUCCUCUCUGCAGCCAGGAUGACCUCUACGUGGUCCCGCAGCAGAUGCUUGAGACAAAGCAGUCCAGUGAAAGCAGCUGCCACCUGGACACCUGCAGAGUACCUGAGGUACCCAGGUAUGGGGACAUCUCUUUGGGCUGUUUCUGUGCCUCUUUCCAAGCAGGUGAACAUGUGCCUCCCGCCUCCCCUUCCUCAUCCCUCUACCCCUCCCAAGGCUGGUUCACAGGGAGGGAAGAGCAAGGGAUCCGGGAAGGAGGGUAAGGAGGG
rnacentral:lncRNA from 1 species